UGCUCUAUAUGCUUUUACUUUUGUCCCUCUUGAGUUAACACCACAUCAGAAAUUAGGCAAUGAAAACAGAUUUAAAAAAAAACUUUUUUUUUUCCCCCCAGAAGAUACUGCAUCUGAGUUUAAAAUGUUUUCCUGAGGGUGUAUGAGAUUCAGCAGUACACAAAGCUGUACCAUCUCCACAGGAGGAUCCCAAGGUAGCCUCCAUAAUCACUGGCAUAUCAACCCUACAGACAGAUGCUGGAAACAGUGACACUGAAUGUACACAAAAUACAGCCCAAAAUGCUACAGUAAGAUGGAUGGUGGUGGUGGUGGUGGUAGUAAUGGAAGAAUGAAAAGGAGAAGAUGGCAGCAUGACCAAGAAGUGCUAGGCUGCAGAAGUUUUCCAAGAUGAAUAUAGUCUGAAGCAAUCUGGUUCAGUGCAUUUUGCACACUGGAGCAGCUUUCUCUCCUGUGUUCUGUGUGAUGCCUUUUAACCUAUUUGAAGACCAGCUACCCAACAUUACCUCACAAUAUUUUACAACAUGCUUGUCCCUUCUGAGUGAAAGACCAGAAUGACCAACCCAAGCCCACGGACAGACAAAACAUUAACACACCAUCUCCAUCAGAAAUAACUGCAUACGUCCUGCGUUACCUAUGGCAAUUUGGAUCUUAGUAGUUUGUCGGCCUCUCUCUUCAAGAACAUAAAACCUUACCUGUGGUUUUCUACAGGGCUCAGCUCUGAGCAAAUGCUACAUCAAGUUCAAGACAGACAGUUGCAUCUUGAGCAAAUUGGCUCCAGGAAUCAAUCAGCUUAAUCUCAUCCAAGAAGAGGUGGGAUGUCUAGACUUUUACAUUUGUGGAAAUGGUUACUAGGCAUUCAGUAAUAAUGACAACAUGAUGGGCUGACAAGACUUUGUUUUCCUCUGAGACUGGAAAAUUCUGAUUCUGCUUGGCAAUAAACAUAAGUUAUUUACAGUAUAAAGAUUUGGUAGAUACCAUGCAGUCUACUGCACAUGGGUAUACCAUAAUUGUGCACUAUAUAUGCAUUGAUAAAAUUAAUAGAACUGCAGACAGAAUAUUUCUAUCUUGAAUAAUUUUCCACAUAUUAACCAUUCAUCUUAGUACCAUGCCUUUUCUUAUCUGAUUAUUUUGUUAAGCAUUGGUAGGGGGUUUUAUUCACCUAAAGCUUACUGAAUGAAGGAAAACUUGCAGCUGUUUAGCAGGUUAGUUAAAAAGUCGAUAAAGAAGCCUCAGUAUUGCAUAAGAUGCCAACACCCUCUAAAAUAGCAUUUACUAAAUGGAUUUUCACAAGCAGUAAUUUCUAUUUACUAAAGCUGUAAAUGCAGUCUUGCAAUAUCUGAAAGAAUUAAACAUUCUCUGUGAAAAUUAGCCAUACACCAUCACAGGAGGCUCCCCUUUAUCCAGCAUCAGUUAAAUUUUGCUGUCUCCUAAGUAAGAGAUUAAAUUACCCCUUUACAACUCUGUUUCCAACUGCCUAACACACUUCAGCAAGCUUUCAAAGGCAGGCUGGCAUCACUGAGUUCUCUCUUAAGUCCAGGCUGCUUCCUUUGCACCAAGCUUCUCCACUCACUAUUUUUUCCAUGAUUUUCCUUUCUUUCAUAGUUGCUUACUCCCCAGUAUAUCUUUAUUUUCUAGGCUAAAAUCUUUAUGCCACCUAUGUGUCACUGCAGUAACACAGCAUAAAUGAAGCACGUAUCGUAAAUUAAGAAUGCAUUUGAAACAUCCCUGAAAUUCAUUUUGAAGGAUGAAGGGAGCACAUCAAAAAACAAGGAUGUCAAUGUGAAUUUUAGGAUGUUACAGGCACACUAGAGAUUUCAAUUUUUUUUCUAUUUCUUUUGUAUUUGCUAUUGGCAUAAGGUUACCAGAGAUUUUGUAUGGACAAACUGCAGCCUAUGGACUGUUUAUAAUGUUUUCUGUAUGUAUUCAUCACUUGUUAAAAGCAUAUAGCUGUUACUUUAAUAAAGCAUAUUUUGGCAACUUCAAUAUAUUUACAAGUA